AGCUCCAAUAGCGUAUAUUAAAGUUGCUGCAGUUAAAAAGCUCGUAGUUGAAUUUGUGGCGCGGCCAUCCGGCGGGGGCUCUUCAUUGAGCCCGUUUGUCCUGGUUUUUGGCCGUUCCUUUCUCGGGUAGCGUGUGGCUGGCAUUAUGUUGUUGGUUGCUACGUUGUGGUAAUGGUUAACAGGAAUAGUUGGGGGUAUUCGUAUUCAAUUGUCAGAGGUGAAAUUCUUGGAUUUGUGGAAGACGAACUACUGCGAAAGCAUUUACCAAGGAUGUUUUCA
rnacentral:rRNA from 1 species